AACGAACGCUGGCGGCAGGCUUAACACAUGCAAGUCGAACGGGCGUAGCAAUACAUCAGUGGCAGACGGGUGAGUAACACGUGGGAACCUUCCUAGGGGUACGGAACAACUCAGGGAAACUUGAGCUAAUACCGUAUACGUCCGUAAGGAGAAAGAUUCAUCGCCCCUAGACGGGCCCGCGUCGGAUUAGGUAGUUGGUGGGGUAACGGCCUACCAAGCCUACGAUCCGUAGCUGAUCUGAGAGGANGAUCAGCCACACUGGGACUGAGACACGGCCCAGACUCCUACGGGAGGCAGCAGUGGGGAAUCUUGGACAAUGGGCGCAAGCCUGAUCCAGCCAUGCCGCGUGAGUGAAGAAGGCCUUAGGGUUGUAAAGCUCUUUUUACCAGGGACGAUAAUGACGGUACCUGGAGAAUAAGCCCCGGCAAACUU
rnacentral:rRNA from 1 species